CCCAUGCCAUUGUCUACAAGGAACAAGCUGUAGCUUUGUUACAUAACAUGGUCCUAAUUACCCAUGUUCGCCAUGGUGAGGUCAAAGUAACUGUAGCGUGGGUAAGAUUUCAAAAUCGAAUGCUCACACCUAUGCUACGUUCCUACAUGUGUGUUUCAGAUGAGGUAUCUAUUUCUACAACAGAGCGUCCAAAGAAUCAUUCCGACAAGUAUUACAUCGCUUUAUUAGCUGUGUCUUCAGUCCUUGGAAUUGUCGUGGCGGCUGUAAUUGUAUUUAUUGUGGUAUACAUCCGAAUACUUCGUCGAUCUGCUGGCGGAAAUGGUACUCACAUACAAUCUUCUUCUAACGAAAUGUACGACGACAUGUCUCAAACGACAAGAAACCCUAGCAACUAUGACUGCCUUCAAAUGCCAACCAUUGGACAACCUGGACCCCAAUAGAAUGUAAACGAACGUCAUUUAAACGAGUGGUCAAUACUUAAAAAAUACUUGUAAAUGUUUCCUCUCCCGGUGUAAAAAAAAAUACAAUAAGUCAUCGAUGUAUGUUAGUAUUUUCUUAAAGAGAUUUUAACCGCUGAGUUAUCAUACAGCUGUGUUAUCAAAUUUGUAAAUUUUCACGUGAUCUUGGUCGUUAUGCAUCAACUGACCAUAAUAACUGCGAAAGUUUGGGGCGAGACAAGUUACACAAGCAAAUUCUUCAAAAACCUCCACACUACAGAAGUAAGUUCUGACGCACGGUUUACCUGAGGAUAAAAAGGACGGACACAGUAAAUAAAGAUUAAUCUGAACACCCAUGCGGAGACAGAUAAUACCGGUAUUUCAAAUCGGACAUCUGAAAAUGAUAUCUUUGUACUCUGUGACAGACACAUAGAUUAUGAGGACUAAACAGUCAAGAAACAGGAGUUAAGUGUCAUGACAAAAUAUAUUACCUACAUUAUUUCAAAAUAAACUUGAUUUCAUACAAACCUGAUGUUCUUUUACACUAUAAACAUACCAAUCAUCAAAGUUAUAAGUAAAUAUAUUAUAAUUCAAAUACAAUUUUAUUUUAAGUUGAUUGAUAUAAUAGCAAGUGAAUAAUUUUUAAAAAUAUUUUUAUCAUUGUAUGUUCAAAGAAUAAGUCAAGGCAUGUAACAGUAAGAUCAUAUGAUAUGUAUAUUUUCAUGGAAUAUAUUAAACAAGUUUAUUUAAAUGCAAAUUAUUAAGUAUGGCAUCACUUAUCAUGUUAUGUUCUCGGAAGUAUCUAUAAAUAAUGUUUUUAGCAACAAUCGUUUAGAGAAAAUGCGCGCAUAUAUUUUUACAUUAGUUUAUAUGUUAGUAAGUAAGUGUUACAUUAUAUCGAUAAUAUUCUAUUUUAUAAUUUUGCAUAAGAUUUCUUAAAAUUCUGUGUCAAGCAGAUACAUUUACAUUAAACAUACGCAUCAGAUUGAACCAAUUUAAACAAUAAAAACAAUGAAUAACCGUAUUCAGUAUAAAUAUUUUGAUCAGAGCUUGUACGUAACAUAUGUUAACAAAGUAUAAUAUGUUUAAAGGAGAACUGCAUGCCAUAUUCCAAUAUGUUUUUCAAUACAUCUUGUCGAUGUUUGUAAACAUUUUAUAAUAUAUUAUUUCAUCUGUAUAGUAUUACUUAUUGGGUAGUCAAUUUAUUUGUGUGUAUGUGUAUAUGUGUGUUCUCUUGCACUUAAGGAAGACUUACAGAAUUCAAAGCAUAUGAACACCAACGAGUAGUUGGGACGUAUUUACGUUUCGUAAUUUCUUGUAUAAAUGCCAGUUGUUGUUUUUAUCAAUGAAUACAUAACCGUUAUCUGUGAAUCCUUCAGUCGAAUAAUGACAGCAAGCGUAAGCGUUAAUAAUACGAUUAGCCGUCUAUUAAAUACAAUCUGGUUUUCAUAUCGCUUGUGCAUUUUAUUUAAAGAGACAUAAUGUGCUCAUGGUGAGCUUUUGUGAUCGCCUUUUGUCCGUCGUGAUGCGUCAACAUUUGCCUUGUUAACACUCUACAGCCGUACAGGCCACAUUUAUUGCCCAAUCUAAAUGAAAUUUGUCAAAAGAUUGGUCUCAAGGAUAUUUUGGAUGAGUUCAAAAAUGGUAACGUUUGCUUGAAAAGACCGUUCAUAAAAAACAGUCAAUAGUGUAUUACCUGUUUUUAUUUUUAUUUUUUUAUAUCUUUUGCUUUUAUUCAAUUUUAAAUUUGCAUUUUGAUUUUUUUAUUAUGCCCCUCUUCGAAGAACAGGAGGUAUGUUGUUCGCUCAUGUCGGUCGGUCGGUCCGUCCGUCCACCGAAUGGUUUCCGGAUUAUAACUCAAGAACGCUUACGCCUAGGAUCAUGAAACUUCAUAGGUACAUUGAUCAUGAGUGGCAGAUGACCCCUAUUGAUUUUUAGGUCACUAGGACAAAGGUCAAGGUUACGGUGACUCGCACAGAAAAAUGGUUUCCGGAUGAUAACUCAAGAACGCUUAAGCCUAGGAUCAUGAAACUUCAUAGGUACAUUGAUCAUGACUCGCAGAUGACCCCUAUUGAUUUUCAGGUCACUAGGUCAAAGGUCAAGGUGACUCGACACAGUAAAAUAGUUUCCGGAUGAUAACUCAAGAAACUUACGCCUAGGAGCAUGAAACUUCAUAGGUACAUUGAUCACGACUCGCAGAUGACCCCUAUUGAUUUUCAGGUCACUAGGUCAAAGGUCAAGGUCACAGUGACAAAAAACGUAUUCACACAAUGGCUGCCACUACAACUGACAGCCCAUAUGGGGGGGUCAUGCAUGUUUUACAAACAGCCC